AUCUUAAGUUUUCAGUUUCGACCCCGUUUGGUCACUGAAAACUGUACCGAACUGUAAUCUUUAUCAGAUAACUGUCGGAUUUUAUUUCUCACUCUACGGGUGUUAGAAAAAUAUGAAACUUUAAAUCUAGCCUCAUAAAAAUAUUUCUGACUGAUCCUGCAAUUUUCAUAAUUUUCUGAGACUGUGCAUUUUCUGCUAAUUUAUCUGUCCCGUUUUCAACAGAAAAUUCUAGAUCUUUUGUUUUCAUUCCGAUUUCAGCACAAGUCACUUCUGACUUAUAUUUUACUCCUCUAAAUUCAAUAAAAAUAGUAUCUCAUACUAUUUUUAUUUAUUUUUAUUUUUAUAUUUAAAAUUCGGUAUAUUACAUUCCACCGCAACCUCACCGGAACCAUUCAAAUGGCUUUCAAACCAAAUGUACACUGUAACUUCAUAAUUUUAGAAGUCCGGUACCUUACACCUAUUCACUUGGUAGGCGGUACUACUAUCACACAUGCAUGCUGGGGGAUUAAUCUACCCACAUCUCUGUCUUAACUAUACUUAUGCAUGCAUCAUCCAGAAUCCACUUCAGAUCGAAUCAUACAACCUCUUUCGAAACAUCAAUCCAGCUGCAAUACCGUCAGUAGCAUUAGAUUCCAUAACUA
rnacentral:lncRNA from 1 species